GACGAACGCUGGCGGCGUGCCUAAUACAUGCAAGUAGGACGCAGUUGCGAACGGGUGAGUAACGCGUAGGUAACUACCUAUUAGAGGGGGAUAACUAUUGGAAACGAUAGCAAAUACCGCAUACUAGUAGAUGGACCUGCGUUGUAUUAGCUAGUAGGUUGGGUAAUGGCCUACCUAGGCAACGAUACAUAGACGAGCUGGGAGGGUGGUCGGCCACACUGGGACUUGGACACGGGCCAGACUCCUACGGGAGGGAGCAAUAGGGAAUCUUCGGCAAUGGGGGGAACCCUGACCGAGCAACGCCGCGUGGGUGAAGAAAGGUUUCGGAUUGUAAAGCUCUGUUGUGCAGGAAGCGGUACUUAACCAGAAAGGGACGGCUAACUACGUGCCAGCAGCCGCGGUAAUAC
rnacentral:rRNA from 1 species